rnacentral:rRNA from 1 species
CGUGCAGGCGGUUUCGUAAGUCGGACGUGAAAGCUCCUGGCUUAACUGGGAGAGGCCGUUCGAUACUGCGGAACUUGAGGUCGGGAGAGGGACGUGGAAUUCCCGGUGUAGUGGUGGAAUGCGUAGAUAUCGGGAGGAACACCAGUGGCGAAGGCGGCGUCCUGGCCCGCACCUGACGCUGAGACGCGAAAGCGUGGGUAGCGAACG